ACGGGAGGCAGCAGUGGGGAAUAUUGGGCAAUGGACGAAAGUCUGACCCAGCAACGCCGCGUGAAGGAAGAAGGUCUUCGGAUUGUAAACUUCUGUUAUAGGGGAAAAAGAAAGUGAUGGUACCCUAAAAGGAAGCUACGGCAAACUAUGUGCCAGCAGCCGCGGUAAUACAUAGGUAGCAAGCGUUAUCCGGAAUAACUGGGCGUAAAGGGAGUGUAGGUGGCCAGAUAAGUUAUAUGUGAAAGCCUUGGGCUUAACCCAAGAAAUGCAUAUAAUACUGUUUGGCUAGAGUGUGAGAGAGGUAAGUGGAAUUCCUAGUGUAGCGGUAGAAUGCGUAGAGAUUAGGAGGAACACCAGAGGCGAAGGCGGCUUACUGGCUCAUAACUGACACUGAGACUCGAAAGCGUGGGGAGCAAACAGGAUUAGAUACCCUGGUA
rnacentral:rRNA from 1 species